rnacentral:tRNA from 1 species
GCCCGUUUGGCCGAGUGGUUUAUGGCGGUGGUUUUAAGUCUUUUCUGCUCUCCUCUCCUGGAGAGCUAAUAAGAACAACACCAUUUUCGAAAGAAGCGUCGGUUCGAGCCCGACAGCGGGCA